GCAAACUUGGUCAUUUAGAGGAAGUAAAAGUCGUAACAAGGUUUCCGUAGGUGAACCUGCGGAAGGAUCAUUAUUGAGUAAACCUGGCUUGCUGAUGCUGGUCUCUCCGGAGGCAUGUGCUCGCUUGUCAUCUUUAUAUCUCCACCUGUGCACACUUUGUAGAACUGGUAGAGCUUUUGUCUCCCUAGGGAGGAUGUGGGACUGCUGUGCGUCUUUGCUAUGCCGGCUUUCCUUGGGUUCUUUCCAGGGCUAUGUUUUUUUUUCACAUACACCUUUGAAAUGUAAAAGAAUGCAUCACUAGGUCUUUGAACCUAUAAAACAAUAUACAACUUUCAGCAACGGAUCUCUUGGCUCUCGCAUCGAUGAAGAACGCAGC
rnacentral:misc_RNA from 1 species